rnacentral:rRNA from 1 species
UACGUAGGAGGCAAGCGUUGUCCGGAAUUACUGGGUGUAAAGCGCGUGUAGGUGGUGGGCCAAGUCUGUGGUGAAAUCGCCCGGCUCAACUGGGCGAGGUCCGUGGAAACUGGUCGACUGGAGGACGGUAGAGGCGAGUGGAAUUCCCGGUGUAGUGGUGAAAUGCGUAGAGAUCGGGAGGAACACCAGUGGCGAAGGCGGCACUCUGGGCUGGUACUGACGCUGAGGAGCGAAAGCGUGGGGAGCAAACAGG